rnacentral:rRNA from 1 species
CGGGACACGUGGUAUCCUGUCUGAAUAUGGGGGGACCAUCCUCCAAGGCUAAAUACUCCUGACUGACCGAUAGUGAACCAGUACCGUGAGGGAAAGGCGAAAAGAACCCCGGCGAGGGGAGUGAAAAAGAACCUGAAACCGUGUACGUACAAGCAGUGGGAGCACGCUUCGGCGUGUGACUGCGUACCUUUUGUAUAAUGGGUCAGCGACUUAUAUUCUGUAGCAAGGUUAACCGAAUAGGGGAGCCGAAGGGAAACCGAGUCUUAACUGGGCGUUAAGUUGCAGGGUAUAGACCCGAAACCCGGUGAUCUAGCCAUGGGCAGGUUGAAGGUUGGGUAACACUAACUGGAGGACCGAACCGACUAAUGUUGAAAAAUUAGCGGAUGACUUGUGGCUGGGGGUGAAAGGCCAAUCAAACCGGGAGAUAGCUGGUUCUCCCCGAAAGCUAUUUAGGUAGCGCCUCGUGAAUUCAUCUCCGGGGGUAGAGCACUGUUUCGGCAAGGGGGUCAUCCCGACUUACCAACCCGAUGCAAACUGCGAAUACCGGAGAAUGUUAUCACGGGAGACACACGGCGGGUGCUAACGUCCGUCGUGAAGAGGGAAACAACCCAGACCGCCAGCUAAGGUCCCAAAGUCAUGGUUAAGUGGGAAACGAUGUGGGAAGGCCCAGACAGCCAGGAUGUUGGCUUAGAAGCAGCCAUCAUUUAAAGAAAGCGUAAUAGCUCACUGGUCGAGUCGGCCUGCGCGGAAGAUGUAACGGGGCUAAACCAUGCACCGAAGCUGCGGCAGCGACACUAUGUGUUGUUGGGUAGGGGAGCGUUCUGUAAGCCUGUGAAGGUGUACUGUGAGGUAUGCUGGAGGUAUCAGAAGUGCGAAUGCUGACAUAAGUAACGAUAAAGCGGGUGAAAAGCCCGCUCGCCGGAAGACCAAGGGUUCCUGUCCAACGUUAAUCGGGGCAGGGUGAGUCGACCCCUAAGGCGAGGCCGAAAGGCGUAGUCGAUGGGAAACAGGUUAAUAUUCCUGUACUUGGUGUUACUGCGAAGGGGGGACGGAGAAGGCUAUGUUGGCCGGGCGACGGUUGUCCCGGUUUAAGCGUGUAGGCUGGUUUUCCAGGCAAAUCCGGAAAAUCAAGGCUGAGGCGUGAUGACGAGGCACUACGGUGCUGAAGCAACAAAUGCCCUGCUUCCAGGAAAAGCCUCUAAGCAUCAGGUAACAUCAAAUCGUACCCCAAACCGACACAGGUGGUCAGGUAGAGAAUACCAAGGCGCUUGAGAGAACUCGGGUGAAGGAACUAGGCAAAAUGGUGCCGUAACUUCGGGAGAAGGCACGCUGAUAUGUAGGUGAAGCGACUUGCUCGUGGAGCUGAAAUCAGUCGAAGAUACCAGCUGGCUGCAACUGUUUAUUAAAAACACAGCACUGUGCAAACACGAAAGUGGACGUAUACGGUGUGACGCCUGCCCGGUGC